rnacentral:rRNA from 1 species
AUUGAACGCUGGCGGCAUGCCUUACACAUGCAAGUCGAACGGUAACAGGUCUUCGGAUGCUGACGAGUGGCGAACGGGUGCGUAAUACAUCGGAACGUGCCCGAUCGUGGGGGAUAACGAGGCGAAAGCUUUGCUAAUACCGCAUACGAUCUACGGAUGAAAGCGGGGGAUCUUCGGACCUCGCGCGGACGGUGCGGCCGAUGGCAGAUUAGGUAGUUGGUGGGAUAAAAGCUUACCAAGCCGACGAUCUGUAGCUGGUCUGAGAGGAUGAUCAGCCACACUGGGACUGAGACACGGCCCAGACUCCUACGGGAGGCAGCAGUGGGGAAUUUUGGACAAUGGGCGAAAGCCUGAUCCAGCCAUGCCGCGUGCAGGAUGAAGGCCUUCGGGUUGUAAACUGCUUUUGUACGGAACGAAAAGCCUCUUUCUAAUAAAGAGGGGUCAUGACGGUACCGUAAGAAUAAGCACCGGCUAACUACGUG